rnacentral:rRNA from 1 species
ACGCUCGACACCUACGGGAGGCAGCAGUGAGGAAUAUUGGUCAGUGGGCGCUAGCCUGAACCAGCCAAGUAGCGUGAAGGAUGAAGGCUCUAUGGGUCGUAAACUUCUUUUAUAUAAGAAUAAAGUGCAGUAUGUAUACUGUUUUGUAUGUAUUAUAUGAAUAAGGAUCGGCUAACUCCGUGCCGGCAGCCGCGGUAAUCUGAGCGGGCUGGCAAGGC